rnacentral:rRNA from 1 species
AUGGGCGGCGGCGCGGCGGACCAGGGCAAGACCAGAGAGGACCCUCGCGUAGAUCCGGGCAUCCUCGACCAACGUCGCCAUUCGUCUCCCCGUCUGCUGCCGUCGCGACAUGGCUUCCAAGAAAUGGCCUCGCUGCCGAUCCCCGACGAGCUCGUGGCGGAGAUCUUCCUCCGGCUGCCCACGCCAGCCGACGUCAUCCGCGCCUCUGGCGCCUGCGUAUCCUUCCGUCGCCUCGUCGCCGGCCGCCCCUUCCUCCGGCGCUUCCGCAAGCUCCACGACCCUCCCCUCCUCGGCUUCCUCGCUCUAACCGGAGCCUUCUUCCCCGUACUCCCGCCUUCUCCUUCCGCGUCGGCAGCCAGCGCCGUCGCCCUCGCCGCCGACUUCUCCUUCUCCUUCCUACCCGUCCCCGCUCGGGACUGGAAGGUCCGGGACGCCCGCGGCGGCCGCGUCCUCCUCAGCAGAUCUCCCUUGGAUAAUUCUCUGGCGGUGUGCGACCCCUUGCACCGGCGGUACCUCCUGCUUCCCCUGAUCCCUGAAGUUGAGGGGUGGGCUCCUCAUUCAUUUGAAAACCCACAGCGGCGGUCCUUCCUUCUCGAUGCGGAGGAGGCCGCAGGAGAGACAUCAUUCACAGUGAUCUGCAUCGCACAUUGGGGAGAUAACGAUAAGCAGGGCGCUUUCGUCUUCUCUUCCAGCACCGGACAAUGGCGAAGUACUCCAUGGAUUGCAGGCUUUGCUUCAUUCUCCGGGUACCGGCACGCAUAUGGCUGCUUCUACGGGGUGACAGCGUGCAGGGAGAAGUUGCUGGUGCUUGACACCCAGAGAAUGGAGUUCUCACUUGCUGACCUCCCACCCCAAGUGAGAGGUUCUUCAGAACAGAUUGCGGGUAUAUCCAUUGUGGAGGCAGGGGAAGGCGUCACUGGGAUGUUUGUGCUUCCAUAUUACACAUCUCACAUCAGUUAUCUAAUUAGGCGAAACAAUGGUGGGACUUCCAGCCAGUGGCAGUUGGAGAAGACAAUUCCACUGGUUUCUUCUUGGUACAGUUUCAUGGGUUCAACAGAGAGGCACUUCCUUCUUGUAUCACAGGGAGACACUUUCACAUUGGAUAUCAAAACAUUCCAACUUGAGAAGGUGGUUAGACGUGGCAUCAGUUCGCCAUGUGUAUAUAGAAACUUCCCACCAUCGUUGUUGUCGUCACCGACAAUAUCAAGUGGUGUUGAGACCGAGGAUGAUGAGAUGCUGGAAAAACGCCGUGCUUCAAGCUCAAGCCCAUAG